UGACCGGAGACAAAUUCAGAUGCUUAACAGACUGAGCCACUCAGGAGCCCCUUUCAUUUUCUUUCUUUAAGCACAGUUGGAAACUAAACCACAGCCAUUGUAUUCCAUAGGCCCUUCACAUGGCCUAUCACAGUAGCCACUUGGAUCAUCACUAAGGCAUUUUCUUCAAUAUGGACUUCACCCCAGGUACCACAGAUGACAUGUACCAUGCACCAUGCCAGCAAACCAACUUCUGAUAUUAAACAGAUUGUCACAGCUUUCAAGUACAACCAGAGUUCUGGCAUGAAAAAGAAUUUGCUGUAUAUGAAGAGAUUUAAUGAAUGAGCAAUACACAGAGGUGUGGGCAGGAUUACUGUACUCGCAGAUUCGCAACAAUGAAAAGCUGUUACUCCACCGCCCCAAACCUGAAGAACAAGAAGAAUAAAUGUUUACUGGAGCCCAGGAAGAGCUGGAGCUAUGGAGAAGCGAUCCAACAGGAGCUGCAGUUGUCAGAGGAUACAGCCAUUCCCACUGGAUCCAUUCUCUUGUAUAGCUGUGUAGAUGACUAGACCACAAUGCAUUUGUCCAUUCUACUGUUAUUUAAGUUACCUGCAAGUUUUUGUUCUCAUAAAUAAUGUUGCUAAGAAUAUUCUCA